rnacentral:rRNA from 1 species
UACGUAGGGCGAAAGCGUUAUCCGGAAUUAUUGGGCGUAAAGAGCUCGUAGGCGGUUUGUCGCGUCUGCCGUGAAAGUCCGGGGCUCAACUCCGGAUCUGCGGUGGGUACGGGCAGACUAGAGUGAUGUAGGGGAGACUGGAAUUCCUGGUGUAGCGGUGAAAUGCGCAGAUAUCAGGAGGAACACCGAUGGCGAAGGCAGGUCUCUGGGCAGUAACUGACGCUGAGGAGCGAAAGCAUGGGGAGCGAACAGG